CAUUUUUCAAUUUGAAUGUUUUUAUUUAUUUAUUUAUUUAUUUUACAGAAGUUAAGAAGAUACAUGGCAAUAUUUUUCUUGAUAAUUAAAAAUAUUUAAUUAUUAAAUUAGUUUCUAAGGUUUGAUUACAAAAUUAUUUAAAUCCUCAAUCUUUUAAAAGUUGCAAUGGUACGUCUAAUCUUAUAAAAACAUCUCAAAUAAGCUAUUAUCAUUACUUUGAUAUUGUUAAAUUAAAUAAAAUUGUACAUAUAGUAUGUAUCUUAUGACAUGACAAGAAGAUAUCAGUUACAGAUUCAAGAUGCCGUA
rnacentral:lncRNA from 1 species